UACGAAGGGUGCGAGCGUUACUCGGAAUUACUGGGCGUAAAGCGUGCGUAGGUGGUUUGUUAAGUCUGCUGUGAAAGCCCCGGGCUCAACCUGGGAAUGGCAAUGGAUACUGGCAAGCUAGAGUGCGGUAGAGGGUAGUGGAAUUCCCGGUGUAGCGGUGAAAUGCGUAGAGAUCGGGAGGAACACCAGUGGCGAAGGCGGCUACCUGGACCAGCACUGACACUGAGGCACGAAAGCCAGGGGAGCAAACGGG
rnacentral:rRNA from 1 species